GCAUAUCAAUAAGCGGAGGAAAAGAAACUAACAAGGAUUCCCCUUGUAACUGCGAGUGACGCGGGAAAAGCUCAAAUUUAAAAUCUGGCGGUCUUUGGCCAUCCGAGUUGUAAUCUAGAGAAGUGUUACCCCCGUCGGCCCGUGUACAAGUCUCCUGGAAUGGAGCGUCAUAGAGGGUGAGAAUCCCGUCUUUGACACGGACUACCGAGGGUUUGUGGUGCGCUCUCAAAGAGUCGAGUUGUUUGGGAAUGCAGCUCAGAAUGGGUGGUAAAUUCCAUCUAAAGCUAAAUAUUGGCGAGAGACCGAUAGCGAACAAGUACCGUGAGGGAAAGAUGAAAAGAACUUUGGAAAGAGAGUUAAACAGUACGUGAAAUUGCUGAAAGGGAAACGCUUGAAGUCAGUCGCGUUGGCCGGAAAUCAGCCUUGCUUUUGCGGGGUGUACUUUCUGGUUGACGGGCCAGCAUCAGUUUUGACCGGUGGAAAAAGUCUGGAGGAAUGUGGCAUCUUCGGAUGUGUUAUAGCCUCUAGUCGUAUGCAUCGGUUGGGACUGAGGAACUCAGCACUUGUGCUUAGGAUGCUGGCAUAAUGGCUUUAAUCGACCCGUCUUGAAACACGGACCAAGGAGUCUAACAUGCCUGCGAGUGUUUGGGUGGAAAACCCGGACGCGUAAUGAAAGUGAAAGUUGAGAUCCCUGUCAUGGGGAGCAUCGACGCCCGGACCAGAAGUUCUCUGACGGCCCUGCGGUAGAGCAUGUAUGUUGGGACCCGAAAGAUGGUGAACUAUGCCUGAAUAGGGUGAAGCCAGAGGAAACUCUGGUGGAGGCUCGUAGCGAUUCCGACGUGCAAACCCAUCGUCAAAUUUGGGGUAGGGGGAAAAAACUAAUC
rnacentral:rRNA from 1 species